rnacentral:tRNA from 1 species
UAUGGCAGAAUAGUGUAAUGGAUUUAAACCCCAUAUAUAAAAUUAAAAAUUUUUAUUAAAA